rnacentral:hammerhead_ribozyme from 1 species
AUCUGGAUGAUGAGUCUUAAAUAGGACGAAAUGCGCAUCCUGGAU